AAGGAGCAACAGAAGCAAAAAACAUCAGAAAAUGAAAGGUUUCAGAGAAUUUCUGAAAAAUCUGGAAGAGGUUCAGGACCUGUUCUCCCUUCUGGAAAGCCACCUGGAGAGGCUCUCUGACCAGGGGGGCUUUCACCAGUUCUUACGUCAAGCAGCCCCUGGGCAGGUGCGCCGAGGGGUGCCAGCU